rnacentral:lncRNA from 1 species
GGAGGUUAUAUGAUAUUUUUACAAAAAAUGUUGCAUCAAAAGAGAAGAACGAGAGUAUCUUCUCCAUUAUCACACCUUAUUAGGUCUAAUUGGCAGGAAAAAACAUGGAAUACAGGUUCAUAUUAACUUGGUUCAAGAUAAAGGGGAGAGUAUAAUCGAGAGACAAACAAAAUGAGAGGAGUAUUAGAAUAUGACCGAUUAAUUUAAGAAGUUUGAUAUGAGAAAUUGAAGGGAAUUAAUUUAAGACUAUAGGAUAUGAGUGAAUUGAUUUUCCCUAAUAUGUUUUGUAUCGUGAGUUCACCUUUUAACCCUUUUUCUUUACUUUAACAUG